rnacentral:rRNA from 1 species
UACGUAGGGGGCAAGCGUUGUUCGGAAUUACUGGGCGUAAAGGGCGCGUAGGCGGCAUGGCAAGUCGGGAGUGAAAGGCCUGGGCUCAACCGAGGAACUGCUUUCGAGACUGCCAAGCUAGAGUGCGGAAGGGGCAUCUGGAAUUCCCAGUGUAGCGGUGAAAUGCGUAGAUAUUGGGAAGAACACCUGAGGCGAAGGCGGGAUGCUGGGCCGACACUGACGCUGAGGCGCGAAAGCCAGGGGAGCAAAACGGG